GUUACGGCGGUCAUAGCGUGGGGGAAACGCCCGGUUCCAUUCCGAACCCGGAAGCUAAGGCCCACAGCGCCGAUGGUACUGCAACCGGGAGGUUGUGGGAGAGUAGGUCGCCGCCGGACA
rnacentral:rRNA from 2 species